GCCACUCCUCCCCUGCAGGUUGAUGAGGAUGAAGGACAAGCCGUACCUUUCACUUAGCYGCUGCCUUUGAAAGGGGAAAUGCACGGUCCUGUAUAUGGAGUCAUCAUGAGGCAGCUCUGAUGAGCAUGUUGUUCACUCACCAUUGAGACAAUGGCAGUCCUGCUAAGUUUGUGACGAUUUGGGGGAUGAAACAAACAUCUGGCAAAUGAAAGAGCUAUGAUGAGGAYGAAGCAAACUCAGGAAGCACAAAAGCUGGGAAACGUUAGUGUUUGGGCAAAAACGCAUUUUAAAAGUGCCCCAGUCUGAAAAGUCACUGGAAAAAAAAUGGUAUUCUGGGCUUUGARUCACAUGGACCUAGUUGGUAAGUAAAAAGAUAUUUCUUCUAACUGCAAGCUUUGCAAAA
rnacentral:lncRNA from 1 species